CAGUAGCCGCGGUAAUACGUAGGUGGCAAGCGUUGUCCGGAAUUAUUGGGCGUAAAGGGCUCGCAGGCGGUUUCUUAAGUCUGAUGUGAAAGCCCCCGGCUCAACCGGGGAGGGUCAUUGGAAACUGGGAAACUUGAGUGCAGAAGAGGAGAGUGGAAUUCCACGUGUAGCGGUGAAAUGCGUAGAGAUGUGGAGGAACGCCAGUGGCGAAGGCGACUCUCUGGUCUGUAACUGACGCUGAGGAGCGAAAGCGUGGGGAGCGAACAGGAUUAGAUACCCCGGUAGUCCCUGUCUCUUAUAA
rnacentral:rRNA from 1 species